ACGAACGCUGGCGGCGUGCUUAACACAUGCAAGUCGAACGGAAAGGCCCUGCUUUUGUGGGGUGCUCGAGUGGCGAACGGGUGAGUAACACGUGAGUAACCUGCCCUUGACUUUGGGAUAACUUCAGGAAACUGGGGCUAAUACCGGAUAGGAGCUCCUGCUGCAUGGUGGGGGUUGGAAAGUUUCGGCGGUUGGGGAUGGACUCGCGGCUUAUCAGCUUGUUGGUGGGGUAGUGGCUUACCAAGGCUUUGACGGGUAGCCGGCCUGAGAGGGUGACCGGCCACAUUGGGACUGAGAUACGGCCCAGACUCCUACGGGAGGCAGCAGUGGGGAAUAUUGCACAAUGGGCGGGAGCCUGAUGCAGCAACGCCGCGUGCGGGAUGACGGCCUUCGGGUUGUAAACCGCUUUCGCCUGUGACGAAGCGUGAGUGACGGUAAUGGGUAAAGAAGCACCGGCUAACUACGUG
rnacentral:rRNA from 1 species